CCACAGUGGUUUUUCAUAAGGAGAGGUGGUUUGACGUGGUUGCCAGAGGCUGGGGAUGUGGUCAUUGAAACCGUCGAUGAAAAUUUGGCUUGUGGAAAAGUGCAAAGCUGUCUCCCAGUCAAAGAGAAAUUGGAACGGCUGCUGGCAUGUUGAAGUGUUGCACUGGAAGAGGCAUUCUGCAGGCAUAGCCAAGGUGGCAAGAACAUGGUACGUCAAGGAACUUACUUCUUCUGGAUAUGCCAUAAAGCAGGUUUGGGUGAUUGUUGUUUAAGUAUGUU
rnacentral:lncRNA from 1 species